rnacentral:rRNA from 1 species
CCUACGGGGGGCUGCAGUAAGGAAUAUUGGACAAUGGCGGAGACGCUGAUCCAGCUAUCCCGCGUGCAGGAUGAAGGACCUCUGGUUUGUAAACUGCUUUAGACUGGGGCGAAAAAGUGGGAUUUAUCCUACAUUGACGGUACCAGUAAAAUAAGCACCGGCUAACUCCGUGCCAGCAGCCGCGGUAAUACGGCGGGUGCAAGCGUUAUCCGGAAUAACUGGUGCGUAAGGGUGUGUCUACGGCUGGAGUGAAAGGCCACGGCUUAACCGUGGGAUUGCUUUUGAUACUGGCGAGCUUGGAUUAGGACGAGGUUGGCGGAAUGUGGCAAGUAGCGGUGAAAUGCAUAGAUAUGCCAUAGAAUACCGAUUGCGAAGGCAGCUGACUAGACCUAUAUUGACGCUGAGGCACGAAAGCGUGGGGAGCGAACAGGAUUAGAUACCCGGGUAGUC